GAGAGGGAGCGGCGAGAGGACGCGGCGGCGUGGACACUGGUAGAAGAUGAAAGCAGUUUCCACCGAAACACUCUGUUAAAUUGGUGCGAGGUGGUAGCAGAAGAGAGAAGGAAGUGGAGACGACGGUCGUAGUAGAGUUGGAGAGAAAAAGGAAAGGACUCGGGGGGGGGGUGUCAAAGCAAAAGAUCUUUGGGGCUGCCAAAGAAAUAGACAAUAUAGGUGGAAGAUCGACUUUGUAAUGUAAAAGAAAAAGGCCGGUCACCUGCGCCUGCACCAGCGGUCAAACAGUAAGAGGGACUGACCUGUCGAAGGAGUGGAACUGCAUGGGCAGCAUGGGGUGCGUCUUCAACGCCGGGUCGGGGUGGUAGGGCGUCGGCCCGGAGUCCUGUCCCGAAUCCCCGCCGUCAACUGGAGCCGCCACCAAGCUCUUCAGGAUCUCCUGCAUUUCAGAGAGAACAAGCAGUCUGGUCACUACAGGACACAAGUUGUGAGGAGGUCGACAGAAUGAUAUAUUUUUAGCUGUUGCCGGGUUCGUAAUGCUUUUGUAGUGAAUGUCAAGCACUAUAGAAGGUACCUAAACCAUAAAUUUGCAGCCUCUCGAAGCCAUCAUCACAUAUAAUUGUUACUUUAAAUGGUUACUUUAAAUGCAAUCCUAAAAAAUGUAGUUUACAGAAAUGCUUUUAUACACACAGCCAUCGAUGUAUGAUGUUGAUAUUUUAUAUAUUAUUUCAAAUAUCAAAAGAAUUUUCUUAACAUAAGUGAUGUUGUAGAUUAAACACCAGAUGAUUUAUGAUGAAAAUCAAGUAUUUUUCAAUUAGAAUUUAAGCAUUAAUCCAAACUUUCUAGACUUUGUACAAACCCUGUACAUGAGUGAGAACUUUGUGCAUGUUUUAAUGAUGCAUGACUGACUGUACAACAGCACGUAAAAUAGCAUUUGAGGAGAAAACAAUGAACCGGCAUUAAAAUCUGUUUUAAGGUGAUCCGCAACUACACAUCUAAAAAUACAGAUGUGGCUUGAUCACUGAGACUAUA